rnacentral:misc_RNA from 1 species
GUCCUAAUUCUUAUAUUCCACUAUCUUCCCCAAUAUGGGCAAACACACAUUAUGUUUUAUAUAGGAGUGUGCUCACUAAUGGGUUCUUUAUCGGUUAUGAGUGUCAAAGCACUUGGAAUUGCUUUGAAAUUGACAUUAUCAGGAACAAAUCAGCUAAUAUAUCCACAGACUUGGGCUUUUACUUUGAUUGUCAUUGUGUGUGUUCUUACCCAAAUGAAUUACUUAAAUAAGGCCCUGGAUACAUUCAAUACAGCAGUUGUCUCUCCUAUAUACUAUGUCAUGUUUACCUUUUUGACUAUCUUAGCCAGUAUAAUCAUGUUCAAGGACUGGGAUAGACAAAACCCAACUCAAAUAGUAACAGAAAUGUGUGGAUUUGUGACUAUUCUUUCUGGAACUUUUCUUCUUCACAAAACUAAAGACAUGGUUGAUGGUCCCCCAACGCUACCUAUUCGACUUCCCAAGCACACAGAUGAGGAGGAUGGUUUUGGACAAGAAGGUAUUCCUUUGAAGCGGCAAGAUUCUUUGAGAUCAUAGGGUGAUAUUUGUAUUCCUCUUUUUAUCUUUUUUGGCUCUCCUUCCUCUCUUUUCUUUUCACAUGGUACAGGAAAACCGUUUUUACCACCCAAAUUCAUCUGCUCAAUUCUUCUUCUUCUCCUAAGAAGAGACCACACACCAAUUGUAUUCUAUGGACUGCUAUGUAGUGAGAGUAACAAGUGGUUUUUCUACCAA